GCGAGAGUGGCGGAAUUGGCAGACGCGCUACUUUGAGGGGGUAGUGUCCAAACGGACGUGCGGGUUCAAGUCCCGCCUCUCGCACCA
rnacentral:tRNA from 1 species